rnacentral:pre_miRNA from 1 species
UUUUAUGGAUGAGCAAAGAAGGUGUUUUCUUGAGAUGGAAUCUACUGCUGGUGAAGAUGCUAUGAA